rnacentral:rRNA from 1 species
AGUGAACGCUGGCGGUAGGCCUAACACAUGUAAGUCGAACGGCAGCACAGUAAGAGCUUGCUCUUACGGGUGGCGAGUGGCGGACGGGUGAGGAAUACAUCGGAAUCUACUUUUUCGUGGGGGAUAACGUGGGGAAACUUACGCUAAUACCGCAUACGACCUACGGGUGAAAGCAGGGGAUCUUCGGACCUUGCGCGAUUGAAUGAGCCGAUGUCGGAUUAGCUAGUUGGCGGGGUAAAGGCCCACCAAGGCGACGAUCCGUAGCUGGUCUGAGAGGAUGAUCAGCCACACUGGAACUGAGACACGGUCCAGACUCCUACGGGAGGCAGCAGUGGGGAAUAUUGGACAAUGGGCGCAAGCCUGAUCCAGCUAUACCGCGUGGGUGAAGAAGGCCUUCGGGUUGUAAAGCCCUUUUGUUGGGAAAGAAAAGCAGCAGGUUAAUACCCCGCUGUUCUGACGGUACCCAAAGAAUAAGCACCGGCUAACUUCGUG